rnacentral:ncRNA from 18 species
CGGGAUCAGAUGACCCUCUCCUCCUCCCUGGGUCAUCUGUGAACUGGCGGCGGCAUCCUCUCCUCCUCCCUGGAUGCCGCCGCGCCCUAAAAGAAUACGAAAGACCUCCUCCUCCUCCCUGAGGUCUUUCGUU